GGGUUGUGAGGUUAAGCGACUAAGCGUACACGGUGGAUGCCCUGGCAGUCAGAGGCGAUGAAGGGCGUGCUAAUCUGCGAUAAGCGCCGGUAAGGUGAUAUGAACCGUUAUAACCGGCGAUACCCGAAUGGGGAAACCCAGUGUGAUUCGUCACACUAUCAUUAACUGAAUCCAUAGGUUAAUGAGGCGAACCGGGGGAACUGAAACAUCUAAGUACCCCGAGGAAAAGAAAUCAACCGAGAUUCCCCCAGUAGCGGCGAGCGAACGGGGAGGAGCCCAGAGCCUGAAUCAGCAUGUGUGUUAGUGGAAGCGUCUGGAAAGGCGCGCGAUACAGGGUGACAGCCCCGUACACAAAAGCGCAUGUGCUGUGAGCUCGAUGAGUAGGGCGGGACACGUGGUAUCCUGUCUGAAUAUGGGGGGACCAUCCUCCAAGGCUAAAUACUCCUGACUGACCGAUAGUGAACCAGUACCGUGAGGGAAAGGCGAAAAGAACCCCGGCGAGGGGAGUGAAAAAGAACCUGAAACCGUGUACGUACAAGCAGUGGGAGCACAGGUUUACCUGUGUGACUGCGUACCUUUUGUAUAAUGGGUCAGCGACUUAUAUUCUGUAGCAAGGUUAACCGUAUAGGGGAGCCGCAGGGAAACCGAGUCUUAACCGGGCGUUAAGUUGCAGGGUAUAGACCCGAAACCCGGUGAUCUAGUCAUGGGCAGGUUGAAGGUUGGGUAACACUAACUGGAGGACCGAACCGACUAAUGUUGAAAAAUUAGCGGAUGACCUGUGGCUGGGGGUGAAAGGCCAAUCAAACCGGGAGAUAGCUGGUUCUCCCCGAAAGCUAUUUAGGUAGCGCCUCGUGAAUUCAUCUCCGGGGGUAGAGCACUGUUUCGGCUAGGGGGCCAUCCCGGCUUACCAACCCGAUGCAAACUGCGAAUACCGGAGAAUGUUAUCACGGGAGACACACGGCGGGUGCUAACGUCCGUCGUGAAGAGGGAAACAACCCAGACCGCCAGCUAAGGUCCCAAAGUCAUGGUUAAGUGGGAAACGAUGUGGGAAGGCCCAGACAGCCAGGAUGUUGGCUUAGAAGCAGCCAUCAUUUAAAGAAAGCGUAAUAGCUCACUGGUCGAGUCGGCCUGCGCGGAAGAUGUAACGGGGCUAAACCAUGCACCGAAGCUGCGGCAGCGA
rnacentral:rRNA from 1 species